rnacentral:rRNA from 1 species
CGGCUCGUGUCGUGAGAUGUUGGGUUAAGUCCGUAACGAGCGCAACCCUUGUCCUUAGUUACCAGCACGUUAUGGUGGGCACUCUAAGGAGACUGCCGGUGACAAACCGGAGGAAGGUGGGGAUGACGUCAAGUCAUCAUGGCCCUUACGGCCUGGGCUACACACGUGCUACAAUGGUCGGUACAAAGGGUUGCCAAGCCGCGAGGUGGAGCUAAUCCCAUAAAACCGAUCGUAGUCCGGAUCGCAGUCUGCAACUCGACUGCGUGAAGUCGGAAUCGCUAGUAAUCGUGAAUCAGAAUGUCACGGUGAAUACGUUCCCGGGCCUU